rnacentral:lncRNA from 1 species
GGGCUUUACACCGGGAGGUGGGGUGGUUGUUACAUAACUCACUGAUCUUUUGUUUUUCAGGCUAUUCUCAUAGCACCUUUUCGCCUCUUUCUGAUCAGACUUGAUCGUGAUCACCACCCCUUCCAUGGACGGCAACUUCACCUUCAUGUGCCGAGUCGACGGAAUGGCGCCUAUCCUGUUAAGAGUGGGCCUUCCCAACAGGAUGUUAUAUGCUGAAUGGGCGUUUACGAUGAGGUACUUGAUUUUCUCCGUCCUCGACCCAGCCUCAUCUAUAAACGUAGUUCUCAG